GAGAGCACAGUACGAUGAAAUUUGUGACCUGUGUUCGAGGGGGAUUUAUUAUCUAUCAUUGGCCUCUAUGGUAAAAUCAAUUAGGGAGGCCUGGGAGAUGGUGGUUUACCCGAU
rnacentral:ncRNA from 1 species